CCUACGGGUGGCAGCAGUGAGGAAUAUUGGUCAAUGGACGGAAGUCUGAACCAGCCAUGCCGCGUGCAGGAUGACGGCUCUAUGAGUUGUAAACUGCUUUUGUACGAGAAUAAUAGUUCUUACGUGUAGGGAUUUGCAUGUAUCGUACGAAUAAAGAUCGGCUAACUCCGUGCCAGCAGCCGCGGUAAUACGGAGGAUUCGAGCGUUAUCCGGAUUUAUUGGGUUUAAAGGGUGCGUAGGCGGUCGGAUAAGUUAGAGGUGAAAUCCCGAGGCUCAACUUCGGAAUUGCCUCUGAUACUGUUCGGCUAGAGAGUAGUUGCGGUAGGCGGAAUGUAUGGUGUAGCGGUGAAAUGCUUAGAUAUUACUCAGAACACCGAUUGCGCAGGCAGCUUGCUAAUCCGCAUCUGACGCUGAUGCACGAAAGCGUGGGUAGCGAACAGGAUUAGAUACCCUAGUAGUC
rnacentral:rRNA from 1 species